rnacentral:rRNA from 1 species
UACGGAGGGGGCAAGCGUUGUUCGGAAUCAUUGGGCGUAAAGAGUAUGUAGGCGGCUAUUUAAGUCAGGCGUGCAAGCCCACGGCUCAACCGUGGAAUUGCGUUUGAAACUAUUUAGCUUGAGUACAGGAGAGGAAGGCGGAAUUCCCAGUGUAGCGGUGAAAUGCAUUGAUAUUGGGAAGAACACCGGUGGCGAAGGCGGCCUUCUGGUCUGAUACUGACGCUGAGAUACGAAAGCCAGGGGAGCGAACGGG